GACGAACGCUGGCGGCGUGCUUAACACAUGCAAGUCGAACGAGAAAGCCCUUCGGGGUAAGUACAGUGGCGAACGGGUGAGUAACACGUGGGCAACCUGCCCCAGAGAGCGGGACAACCCGGGGAAACCCGGGCUAAUACCGCAUGAUGCGUCUCCACUUAAGUUGAGCCGCCAAAUGGUAGCUUCGGCCUCCGCUCUGGGAUGGGCCCGCGCCGGAUUAGCUAGUUGGUUGGGGUAACGGCCCACCAAGGCGACGAUCCGUAGCUGGUCUGAGAGGACGGUCAGCCACACUGGGACUGAGACACGGCCCAGACUCCUACGGGAGGCAGCAGUGGGGCAUCUUGCGCAAUGGGCGAAAGCCUGCCGCAGCAACGCCGCGUGGGGGAAGAAGGCCUUCGGGUUGUAAACCUCUUUCAGUAGGGACGAAGCUUCCGGGGUUAAUAGCCUACGGGGUGACGGUACCUACAGAAGAAGCCCCGGCUAACUACGUGCCAGCCGCCGCUGUAA
rnacentral:rRNA from 1 species